UGGCAACGGUUGGUUUACGAACAAAACGGCGCAUAUUUGGCUUAAAUCGGACAAAUGUACACAAAGUUAUCAUCUUUUGAAAAAUCAAUAAAAAAAACCGAACGAACUUUUUACUUUACCUAAUAUAAUAAUUUGACAUAUUUAUAAUCUUGCAAUCAGUUACAAAUGAGAAUAAUAAAUUUGCUCACUUAGCGGUUGUUUGUAACACAUAAAACUUAUCGAGAUGGAUAUAGAUGACGAGACGAGUUGAAUUUCGGGUGACCGUAUAUCCGUGCCUAUGUACGUCUGCAGUUUAAAGUUUGUAAAAAAUGGGUGUAGCCCCGUCCCCUCUCAAACCGCUGUAGCUGUAUCAACAGUAAUUCUGUAAAAAAAUAUUAUUGAAGUUCAUAAAAUAUAUUUUAAUGGUAAUAAGAUGCAUUUGCGUUGAAAAUUAUUAAAAUCGGGUCAAACCUUGCCCUAACCCCCAUAUACCUUAUAUAAGAAUUUUCCAACUUCCAGAAAUUUUACCGGUCAUACUAUGAGAUACCUUAAUAUAAUUCAGAAGGAAUCCUUUGAUGGUAAUAAUGAGCCCUGAUAUAAUAAAAUUGGGACAAUACUUCUCCUAGCCCCUAUAUACCUGACAAAGUCACUUUCGACUUUCCAGUUGAAAUUAAACCGGUUAUUUAGCACAAAAUAUGUAAAGGUAGGUCGUGGGGUGGACAUAACCGAUGGUUUUCACUUAAGCAGCUGAGAACUUUUGUCCUUUGCGUUACCAAAAAAGUACGAAAAAGGAUCCCUAGAUCCUUAUAGAUCAACAAAGCAUUUUGAGCUUCCCACAAAUUCGUUACGGCGGGUAACACCAAUCCCAACCAUUUCGCUAGAUUCGUCACUGGUGUGUCAAAUUGUCUGGGAAAAGCGCGGAGAAAGUUACAAGAUGAUUUCUCCUCGCCUUCUAUAUAGCUAUGGUAAAGAGCGUCCGACAAAAUAUUUAGCCUCGCUGCGUGUGAACUUAUUGGACAGUGUUUAGUCAGAACUCCUACAAUUGCGGCGGUAUUGGCUUUUUAAAGAGUAAGUAGUUCAGACGAUUCACUCUAUACCAGAAGGAUCUCGCUGUCGCACAAGUUCUGGUUGUUGACCAGUUAUUGCUGAGGUUCAGAGUUAGAACGCAAGAGGAUAACGAAGUACCGACUCAUUUUUAAUCGUAUAAAAUUGUGGUAAGGGUGCUCUCCCUAUCGAUUAUGCAAGUAUAAUAUGGAAGAAGCUUGAACGACGCUCCAGUGGUAUGGUGAUGGAGAGCUAAUGACAGAAGGCUCCACCUCCUACUCUCUUUCUUAACUUCACUAAUCAAAGAAUAGAGCUCUCAACGUAAGGAGAGUAACAUCAAGGCUCCAUGGUCCACGUAGGCAAUCACCUGGAAGCCUCAUUCCUCAAGUUCCUUCCAUACGUCGUUAACUACUAGGAUCCAGAGUAAAGGGAAAAAAACGCCACUUUGCGGGGUGCCCCUUUCAACUUUUCGAAAUGCCAAUACACUUUCCCACUCCGCCACUACCGUUCAGUCGCAAAGGAGACUAUAUAUGGUAUGUUUGAGAUUAGUACGUUGUUGAUGGCUCCCGCAAUAUCAAUCAAAGACUUUAUGUGUAAGGACUCCCUCCGACCAUGACAUUUCCAAGUGAAAGGCAGAUUUAACAAUUCCUAAAAGUAUUUCCAGCAUUUGCUUCUUGACAAUUGCGAAUGUAUAACAUGUUCAGUUGCACCCAAACUUAGGAAUUUCUUCUUUGUUUUUAGUUAAGUUACGUAGUGGAUAAAAAUAUAUUUGAAAAUAUUUAAACAUGAUAUUUUUGGGUUUAUUAACUUGUGUUUCUUUAUCUUAUAUCAAUUUUGUAAAUAACUCAUAUUAUACUUUUUAUCUACAGAAAGCCCGUUUGGCUAGAAUAAGAAUUGCCAAGGCUUCUUCUGGUGCGGCGUUUGUUAGUAAGAAGAAAGCUGCAGAAGCUCGCUGGGCCGCACAAGAGUCAGGAAUUGAAUUGGAUGAUAACUAUAGGGAUGAGGACAUAUUCGAACUACAACACCAUCAUCUUCUGAGAUGUCUUGAGAAAACCACUCACUUUGGCCAUGAACGAUUGGGUUUUUAUGGUGCACAUUGUAUCUGGAUUAUGUUGCAGUUUUAAUGGAAGCUUAAAUGAUGAAUGCGCUGUUCAUCUAAUAAAGUUGCUGCAAUGCCAGAUGAUGCAACGGCCAAUGCGAUGCCAUAUUUUGAUCAAAUCUCAGCAAAGAGUAGUGAAAUAAGGAAUGUUUUGCCAGUUCCACCUGGUGCAUCAACCAAAAAAAAAAAAAAAAUAACUCUCUUUCCCUGCUAAAAAUGCCAGCACAAUGCGGUCGUAAAUUGUUUUUUGAUCAUCACUUAGUAGUGGAACA